CCUACGGGGGGCAGCAGUAGGGAAUCUUCCACAAUGGACGAGAGCCUGAACCAGCCAAGUCGCGUGAAGGAUGACGGCCUUACGGGUUGUAAACUUCUUUUGUCAGGGAGCAGUUGGGUCCACGCGUGGGCUUAGCGAGAGUACCUGAAGAAAAAGCAUCGGCUAACUCCGUGCCAGCAGCCGCGGUAAUACGGAGGAUGCGAGCGUUAUCCGGACUUAUUGGGUUUAAAGGGUGAGUAGGCGGAAUAUCAAGUCAGCGGUAAAAAUUCGGGGCUCAACCCCGUCGUGCCGUUGAAACUGAUGUU
rnacentral:rRNA from 1 species